GCUUAACGCGAAGAACCUUACCUACCUUUGAAUCCACGGAACCUAGCAGAGAUGUUGGGGUGCCUUCGGGAACCGUGAGACAGGUGCUGCAUGGCUGUCGUCAGCUCGUGUCGUGAGAUGUUGGGUUAGGUCCCGUAACGAGCGCAACCCUUGUCCUUAGUUGCCAUCAGGUUAUGCUGGGCACUUUAAGGAGACUGCCGGUGAUAAACCGGAGGAAGGUGGGGAUGACGUCAAGUCCUCAUGGCCCUUACAGGUAGGGCUACACACGUGCUACAAUGGGCAGUACAGAGGGAAGCCAACCCGCGAGGGGGAGCGAAUCUCAUAAAGCUGUUCGUAGUCCGGAUUGGAGUCUGCAACUCGACUCCAUGAAGUUGGAAUCGCUAGUAAUCGCGGAUCAGAAUGCCGCGGUGAAUACGUUCCCGGGUCUUGUACACACCG
rnacentral:rRNA from 1 species